rnacentral:rRNA from 1 species
UACUAGAGUAGCACUCGCAUAUCAAUAAGCGGAGGAAAAGAAACUAACAAGGAUUCCCCUAGUAACGGCGAGUGAAGCGGGAAGAGCUCAAAUUUGAAAUCUUAAAGGGUUUCCCUUUACGAAUUGUAGUUUAAAGAAGUGUUUUCUGUUGAGGUUUUGGCAAAAGUUCUUUGGAAUAGGACAUCAUAGAGGGUGAGAAUCCCGUAUUUGACCUUUACUUUCAACUUUGUGAUACACUUUCAAAGAGUCGGAUUGUUUGGGAAUGCAGUCCAAAAUGGGUGGUAAAUUUCAUCUAAAGCUAAAUAUUGGCGAGAGACCUGAUAGCGAACAAGUACCGUGAGGGAAAGAUGAAAAGAACUUUGAAAAGAGAGUUAAACAGUACGUGAAAUUGUCAAAAGGGAAGCGUUUGACACCAGUGUUGUUUUUCUGAAAAUCAAUUAAAGAACUGUUUAUGCUAAGUUGUUUAGACUUUAUCAGCUAACUGUUUAGUUUUGAGCUUUUCUUUAAUGCACUUUUCAGUUAACAAGUCAACAUCAAUUUCUUUUGCUGUAGAAAAGCUUGAGGAAGGUGGCUUGAGAUUCGUCUUAAGUGUUUAUAGCCUCUUGCCUAUGCAGUCGGAGAGAUUGAGGUCUGCAGCGUAGAUCCUUCGGGGCUAAAUGCAUUUGUGCUAAGUUAUAGCAUUUUAUAGACAACUUGUUGACUAUGAUUUGUCUUGUAGCUUACUCGCUUAUGUUAUUUUACCUACGCUUAGGAUGUUGAUCUACAGAGCGAGAGU